AGAGUUUGAUCCUGGCUCAGGAUGAACGCUGGCGGCGUGCCUAACACAUGCAAGUCGAACGGGCUUAACAUGAAACCUAGUGAUUGUUAAGUUAGUGGCGGACGGGUGAGUAACGCGUGGAUAACCUGCCGUAUGCAGGGGGAUAACAGUUGGAAACAGCUGCUAAUACCGCAUAAGCGCACAGUACCGCAUGGUACGGUGUGAAAAGAUUUAUCGGCAUACGAUGGAUCCGCGUCCGAUUAGCCAGUUGGCGGGGUAACGGCCCACCAAAGCGACGAUCGGUAGCCGGCCUGAGAGGGCGGACGGCCACAUUGGGACUGAGACACGGCCCAAACUCCUACGGGAGGCAGCAGUGGGGAAUAUUGCACAAUGGGGGAAACCCUGAUGCAGCGACGCCGCGUGAGUGAAGAAGUAUCUCGGUAUGUAAAGCUCUAUCAGCAGGGAAGAAAAUGACGGUACCUAAUCAGAAAGCCACGGCUAACUACGUG
rnacentral:rRNA from 1 species